GUUGCAGGGAAAAUUCUAUCAUUUGCUCAGAAGGGUCCUAGAGGAAUUUGUAUUCUGUCUGCCAAUGGAGCUGUUUCUAAUGUCACCAUUCGCCAACCAGGUUCAUCUGGUGGUAUUUUGACAUAUGAGGGCCGUUUUGAGAUACUUUCAUUAUCUGGGUCAUUCACAGUCACUGAAACUGGUGGUGUGAGAAGUAGGACUGGUGGACUGAGUGUAUCGUUGGCUAGCCCUGACGGNNNNUAGGCGGUGGCAUUGCAGGACUCUUGUUGGCAGCCAGCCCUAUCCAAAUUGUUGUAGGCAGCUUCAUGCCAAAUGGUUACAAGGCACACAAAAGAAAGC
rnacentral:misc_RNA from 1 species